UAUGGAUUCUCUUCACGUACACCAUCCAGCUGUCCUGAUGCAUUGGCAGGCUGACCCGGUCUCCAAGAGCACAGUCUACCUGGACUGAUUGUCAUCCACAGCAGCACUGUGGCUGGGUCUGAAGCUGGUGCCAGCUGAGGCGCUUGGCAGAGAUGCACAGGCAUGGAUCUGGGUUUUUUCAACUCUCCAAAGAGCUGCAGGGCCAUGUCCUGACGUUGGCAUAGGCUGGCACUGUGCUUGGUAAAUGUUCAGUGAGG